UUUGUUCGCUGUGUAGUUGGGGGGGGGGACAAUUUUCUGGGGAGUUGCUCCCGGAAAAACGUCCAGGAAAUCGAGAAAAGUGGGGAUUCAAUACUGAAAUUGUUUGAAAAGUGUUCUCUAGACCUUGAGCUUCAUUUUGAUGUAAUUUUUAUGUGUGUGCACCUGUUUUUUCGAGGGUAAAUCCCGAGACAUAACCUCACUCAUGGCCCCUCUGAUGAAAGUUAUCGAGUCCAGAGGAGGGCGAACAGAAGUAAAUGCCUCUCGGAGGUCACAGACAUAACCUCACUUAUUGGCCCUCUGGAAGUUACCGAGUCCAGAGGUCAAACAGGGACAGAAGAUAUCAUAUAAGAAAAGGACAAAGAGAUAAUCAAAAGAGAAGGAAUCUCAAGGCACACGUGAUUCCUCUCGAGUCGUCCCUUUAAGCAGGAUGGAAAACAAACGAAGACUGGAAAUGCCCCUCGGAGGCCAGAGAAAUCCAGAAGCCUGCGGUGACGACGUUCAUUUGUUUCUCGAAGAAGCCAAGGGAGAGGGGGCAGCAGAGGAGCAGAUGAUCUUUGAUGCAUUUUUCUUUUGUUUGUUUUUCCUCACAAAAAAUGUAUUUUUAUUUAUAUUUUUUUUAUUAUUAUGUAUUUUUCUUUUGAUUAAUUGAUAAUAAAGUAAGCGGCAGUU